CAAAUGGUAGAUCUGAUCAACCUCAAGAAGAAUCGGCUCAACCACAUCGUGACGGAUCAUCUCAAAGUUAGGGUUACUGAAAUGGUGCAUAACGUUCUCUUUCCUUCCAGUGAAGAAAUUAUCAACAACAAUCACAGUAUCUCCUCUAGCCAUCAAACGAUCCACGAGAUGCGAUCCAACGAAUCCAGCACCACCGGUCACAACCACUCUUAGCCCUUUGCGUUUCAAUCCCAGUGGGAUUUUCCCGCCUGUUGCUCCGAUCCGGUUCAGGUACUCGAGGCUAGGUUUCCUCUGAGCUUGUAUAGCCGGAACGUACGAUUCGUCGGGUCGGAUUCCGUAACCGGAGAAAGGAUCCGAGUAAGGGGUUGAUUGUGUGGAGCGAGGGAAAAUUGUGAAAACCAAAGUAGCGAUUGCAAUGCCAACGAGAACGAAGAUAAGUCUCUGUUCACGGAGCAUGUAACGCAUCGGACGAGUCACCGUGAACCAUGGUUUGAUUGGUUUCGGGUAAUAAGCAUCGGCGGUUGGUUGAUCCGUCUCGUGUCGCCGAUUGAUCAGCUCGCUCGCCAUCUCCAAACCUCACAAAUUGAAUUCUAGAUCUAGAAUCGAAAGAUAGAAAACCAAAAUCGAUCAAUCGUUAAGAAGAAAUUUUAUUUUUCUAGGAAAAAAUCAAUCACCGAGUCGAACUCGCCGGGAACUGAGUCGGACCUUGAACGAGAGAGUGAAAAGCGAAU